rnacentral:rRNA from 1 species
AUGGGCCGGUCGGAGAGGACCGUUGUGUGGUUCAGGAGGGACCUCAGGAUCGACGACAACCCGGCUUUGGCCGCCGCUGCCAGGGACGGCGCGGUGCUCCCUGUCUUCAUAUGGUGCCCGGCCGAGGAGGGGCGCUUCUACCCCGGCCGCUGCUCCCGGUGGUGGCUCAAGGAGUCGCUUGCGCACCUUGCCAGGUCGCUGGAGGCGCUCGGCUGCCCGCUCGUGCUGAUCCGAGCUCAGAGCACUCUUGCCGCGCUUCUGCAGUGCGUUGAUUCCAUCGGCGCCACCAGAGUGGUCUAUAAUCAUCUAUACGACCCUAUUUCACUUGUGCGGGAUGACAAAAUCAAGAAUGAGCUUUUGGGCCUUGGAAUUUCUAUGCAGAGUUUCAAUGGUGAUCUGCUAUAUGAGCCAUGGGAAGUUUAUGAUGAGAAUGGGCUUGCAUUUACAACGUUCAAUAAGUAUUGGGAAAAGUGCAUGAAAUUGCCUAUCGAGAUAUCACCAUUUCUUGCCCCUUGGAGGUUGGUGCCUGUCUCAGGUAUAGAAAACAUUUGCAGUAGUUCAAUUGAUAACCUAGGUCUUGAAUCAAGUAAGGAUGAGGAAUCAAGCAAUGCUUUGCUAAGCAGGGCUUGGUCUCCUGGCUGGCGCAAUGCGGAGAAGACACUUGAGGAUUUCGUGUCUCAUGGUCUCCUAGAUUAUUCAAAAGACAGAAUGAAGGUUACCGGAACUACAACAUCGUUAUUGUCACCAUAUCUUCAUUAUGGUGAGGUGAGUGUAAGGAAAAUCUAUCAACUUGUCAGGAUGCAACAGAUCAAGUGGGAAAAUGAGGGGAAAUCCGGAGCUGGGGAGAGUGUUAACUUGUUCCUGCUGUCAAUUGGUCUCCGAGAAUAUUCACGUUAUUUGUGUUUCAACUUUCCAUUCACACAUGAAAGGUCGCUGCUGGGGAACUUGAAACACUACCCCUGGCGAGCAGACGAGGACCGGUUCAAGUCCUGGAGACAGGGAAUGACAGGAUACCCGUUAGUAGAUGCUGGCAUGAGGGAGCUAUGGGCUACUGGCUGGACACAUAAUCGUAUAAGAGUAAUAGUUUCAAGUUUUGCUGUGAAAUUUCUACUAAUUCCGUGGACUUGGGGGAUGAAGUACUUUUGGGAUGUGCUGUUGGAUGCUGAUAUAGAAAGUGAUAUUCUUGGCUGGCAGUACAUAUCUGGGUGUUUGCCUGAUGGACACGAGCUUGGUCGUCUUGAUAAUCCAGAGGUUCAAGGUCAAAAGUAUGACCCAGAUGGUGAAUACGUAAGAACUUGGAUUCCAGAGCUAGCUAGAAUGCCAGGGGAAUGGAUCCAUCAUCCGUGGGAUGCACCGAGCUCUAUACUAGAAGUUGCUGGUGUUGAGCUAGGCUUUAACUAUCCUAUGCCCAUAGUAGAACUUCACAUGGCUCGGGAGUGCUUAGAUGAUGCCAUCUCCACGAUGUGGCAAUUGGAUACAGCCGAAAAACUUGCAGAAUUAGAUGGUGAGGUUGUUGAAGACAACUUGAGCCAUAUCAAGAGUUUUGAUGUCCCAAAAGUUGUUUUGAAGGAACUAUCUCCAAGUGCUCCUCGCUGUGAUCAAAAAGUGCCCACUGAUAAUGGCAGGAAUCUUGAGUUACAGCCUAAGGAACUGAAGGGCACAGAUAAACAGACCAUUUGUGUUAAUGUGAUCAAGGCCUCAAAGAUGGAAGACUCAGGCUCCAUGGCAAACUCUCCGAUAUCAAGGAAAAGAUCCAGCAGCGGGAGUGUGUUUAAUGUCCCAUCUUAUUCAUCUUCAGUCGAAGUGCGCUCACAGAAUCAGCAUCCUGGUGGUUAUUCAGUUGGGUCGUCAGGAUAUAUCGUGCAGAACGCAGAGAGGAACUGUGUUGGCAAGGCAGAAGAUGAUGACAGUGCCGAUAGCUGUACAAACACCUCAAGAGCAUCCAAGAGACCUGCCGCCUGA